UGCAUCAUCCAUAGAUUAUGUCUCUCUUGAUUACGGAGUGUACACUUUUUUCAGUUGAGCAAUCUCUUACCCCAAUCUAUAUGUCCCUACCUCAGUACCGAUCUUCCGCUGCCUGCCUUCGUUUUGCUUUUGCCCCCGAACAAGAUUCUUUGCUGUCUUGCCUGCCUUGCCUUACAAUCCCAUCAACCUUAUCUUAUAAAACAACCCCAUGUCCCUCAAAUAUCUAUCUCCCCACUUUUUUUCAAAAAAAAAAAAAAAUCUAUCUCCCCACUUGAUUUUUCAUUCUAGCUGUUCCAAGUUUUGGGCAGGAAAUUUUGGGUCAUUUGGCUCUGCCCUUCAGAUCAUUGUGCCCAGUCUUAAAAGAGUAUAAGUAUGUACGAGUGCUUCAAAGUGUGAGACGGUGCUUGCUGUUGUCGGUCGCCAGAAUAACCAAGACCUCUCAACCUCGACACCGUUUGGUCUCUUACUUCUCUUAUCCCAAGACGCUUGACGGGAGACCUGGCUAAGAUUAUUAACUGUAGGACCCAUAUGAAACUUGGUAAGAGAAACUAGACUGGUCUUCGUCUGAUCGGAAGCUGUCUAUACUGUCCAUCGUAUAUCUAAGGAACAACAACAAAAACUACAUUUGAAGUGUCUGUCUCUCAGAGAAUCAAAAAGCAACGGCCAAGACUCGGGUGAGAGGAAGGGGCCCUGACGGGGCAGUUUUUACCCGGGAUGGGUGCACAAUACGAUAUUUUACCCAAAUUGGUGCUUCUAUCAUAUGGAUGCCUUCAAAAAUAAAUUUAAGGCUCAAUAUCUCUUCUGGUCCCUGCACUAUAGCUAAAUCCUUACAUUAGUACGUAUACUAGUUUUUAUCAGUUUGGCCUCUGUAUUCUAUUUUGGUUGUCAGUUUAGUCCUUGUACUUUAUUUUGUA